UCUGUCUAUUUCUCUCUCCCCUUUCCUGCUGUGUCGCACUUCUCUUUCUCUUCCCAUAAGUCGUACCUCUCUCUCUGCUCCCAUCUCAUUUGUCUUUCACUUUCUCCCACAUGUGCUUGUCUGCUUCAGAUGUGCUGUUGUACCUUUUUGCAUUUGAAGAAAGUUUAUGAUAUUUUUUCUGUCCUGAUGGACUGAGAACAGGCGUGUACGGCUUCUUCAGCUGCCUGUGAAGUUGUUGCCUGACCUGCAUUCAGCAGUCAUGUUUCCCUAUUGGACUUUUGUGAUACAGAACAAAGGUGGCCUGAACAUUUUGCCUAUUCACCCUCAUCUUAGAACUCAUUUAGUGCUAUUUAACAAAUUUACUUUCACAACCAAAUUGAUAUUUUUUGGUCCUUUUUGAUGUUAUCUGAGCAUCAGUGACUGUUUGAUCCAGUUUUGAUGAAGUGAUUGAGGUCGCGCGUUUAGUUCUCGUUGUCCAGCAGAGAGUGAAGGGUAGAAUUAUUUAAUUAUUUGAUGUUAAUUCAGUCCCACUCUUGUGGAGUCACUCUCUCCUAAUGGAGCAGUCAGUCCAUCAGGGAUAUGGAAAGGAUACAUAAAACUGUGAUGAAAAUAUUCAGUAUAAAUUUAUGGAAUUGUACGUUUUUACUGGCCUCUAAUGAAUGACAGGUGACCCUAUCGCCAGCUUAUUUGGAGCUGCAAAAGACCGUUACUCACCGAACAAGCCUUGUCUUUACGAAGUUCUCGUGAUUUGUUUCUGAUGUCUGCUUUGUCUAGUAUCUCACAGACUUGUGUGAGUCACAGUUCGACCCCAACAUCUCUCUUUGUGUCUCUCUCAGUGGGAGGCAGGACCACGUGUACUCUACCCCCUCGCAGGAAAGUCAGUUGUUAUAACUUCAAGCAGCGGGCACUUUUAUGGACCUUUGAACCGGUCCGCUGACCACUAUUUUAUUCGUGUUGUAAAAUAUCAUACUUUGACCCUCUUACUUUUUAUUUCGAAGGUACUAACUCAAGUUAA